rnacentral:other from 1 species
AUCGCCCUGCGCUGUGCGUGAUUUUGCCGUCUACGUCUUGAACCAAUACUUUAAAAAAGGUUUCUUAUUUUAGAUGAAAUAACGCGAUAGGCCUGAGCCAAGGCGGCGUUUCUCGAUCCGAAACCACCUGUGUAAACAGGUUCAACACUUGGUGAAACACGGCAUGUGCGGGGUAUUG